AGUGAACGCUGGCGGUAGGCCUAACACAUGCAAGUCGAACGGCAGCACAGUAAGAGCUUGCUCUUACGGGUGGCGAGUGGCGGACGGGUGAGGAAUACAUCGGAAUCUACUUUUUCGUGGGGGAUAACGUAGGGAAACUUACGCUAAUACCGCAUACGACCUACGGGUGAAAGCAGGGGAUCUUCGGACCUUGCGCGAUUGAAUGAGCCGAUGUCGGAUUAGCUAGUUGGCGGGGUAAAGGCCCACCAAGGCGACGAUCCGUAGCUGGUCUGAGAGGAUGAUGAGCCACCCGGGAACUGAGACACGGUCCAGACUCCUACGGGAGGCAGCAGUGGGGAAUAUUGGACAAUGGGCGCAAGCCUGAUCCAGCCAUACCGCGUGGGUGAAGAAGGCCUUCGGGUUGUAAAGCCCUUUUGUUGGGAGAGAAAAGCAGCAGGUUAAUACCCCGCUGUUCUGACGGUACCCAAAGAAUAAGCACCGGCUAACUUCGUG
rnacentral:rRNA from 1 species